AUUUGCCAGAAAUUUCUAGUCUUUUUUUUCUCACUAUGUCUUUUUACUAAUUAUUAUUUGUCCAAAAACCCAUAAAAAACAAUUUAAAUUUCAUCAACACAAACAAAUACAUAGUUGUUCAAGGAAAAUUGGAUCGAAUGUUUCAGUACGUGUUCACGCAGCGGAACACGUACCUCAUGAAGCCGGGAGUUUUAAAUUCUAGCAAGAGGGGAACAGAACAGAGAUAAUUGUGAGUGUAAAUGAUCAGGGAGGACUCUAGAUCUUUCGUUUUAUCCUUCCCUUCCUAGCACCUUUAGACGGUAUAGAAGGCUACAGAAGGCCUAGUACCUCAGUACUGGUACCUGUUUGGUACGCUUCGGUAGUAUAUCAAGCGAGUUUGGCUUAGCCGUGGUUCGUAUUUUGACGAACAUGUUUUGCCGCCGAAGCGAACCAAAGAAAGGUACAGAUAAGUAAUUACCAAAUCGUACCCAAAUUCAGCCAAGUCACUAUGAUAUCGAAGACAUAUCAGGUCAAUAACUUGAUAUCGCAAAAUAUCAGGACAGUAGACACGGCUUCUAAUUGGCUAAUAGCAAUUUGGGUACGGCAAACGGCUAUAGCUAGAAUCUCUAUUCAGGAGCUGAGGUAUAUGGGGCGGGAGAGUUGCCUCCUUCGUAACAUUGACGAGGAUAUCUGGUUAGACAGAGUCUUGCUUCUCGGUUUUUCUCAGAAUAUGUCAGUAUUAGCUAUGAGUGUCGUCUGACUUCUUAUAUCCAGUGCAUCUUUCCACGCGAUGUUUCGAUGUAACACGCACGGAUAUUUAGUAGAUUCCUCCAUUUUUUGCAUUUGCAUUUUUUGUUCAUUUUGAUUUGUCAAUGAAUUACACCAGCUUUGGCCAUUUUGUGUGUUGCGUGGGGUUCCGUGUUACAAAAACAGCGGGGAAACUGUUUUGUUGAGGGCAGACCAAUUUAGCCAAAUUAAUCUCGAGAAGAAAAAGCUUUGUUGAAUGGUCUUACAUAAUUACCUUUUAAACGUUCUUUGGAAUGUCCCAAUUGAACUUAUUGAAAGGAACAUAAGUGUACUUGUUGUGGUUGACAUGAGACGGAUCUCAAAGAAAUUUAAUCGCUUGACUAAACACAGGUGACAGUAGAUAUUCUUGCCCUGUAUCACAUCGUCAUGAAGACUUCAGUGCGCUUGAAUUAAUUUUUAAGUGGGCUGCGUGCUCGGCGACUACACGCAAUUUCGUUGGCCCGGGACGAUGACAAAAUACUGUAGUCAAAAUACUCGAGCGACGAAAAAGGGCUGGGCGCAUUUUUCUCCUAUUUUUCUGAGGACUUCGCCGCACAUUUUCGUGGCUUCGCCGCAUCGUAGCUGUUAUUUAACCAUCGCGCGAGAAAAGUACCAGCAGCAACAUAGACACUGCAACGCGCGCGUAUCCAGCAAGCGGUUAGAGAAAACACGCGGGAAAUUAAAAGCUACGGACCUCGACGCCAAGAGUCGAUGCUGGCCUGAGUGUUCUGUUAAUUUUUCAAGUGGUCUUAAUAACCGCGAAGAGACACAAACCAAAAAUCUGGAUUCAUGAACACAGUUCGUUGAAGGGCUGCCAGGGCUGGAUGGGAAGCUGGUCAGACUAGCUGAACAAUGGCGCUGUUUUAGAUGAUUUCAAUUAGUGAGUGAAGAGAACGAUACAACAGCAUUUCGACUUGAAAUGGUAUGAGCUAAAUGCCUUGAAACAUAGGGAUGCCUUAGAGUGAACAGGGAAUGGUGUACCUUUGUUGGCGUGGAGAGCUGCAUAUGUCAUACUUGCCCUUCAUAAGAAAAGUUAUGUUCUAGGAGCUUUACCCCAAGUCAAAGAAUGAGCGAGCCGUUAUUAAGAGGAAUGUUGGUGGCGUUAAUUUCCUGCUUCUGGAUAAUGAAAUGCGAGGGUGCUGUCUCAGUGAGUGCAAGACAUAAUGCCCCCGAGGGCGACAAAACCAGUAUUAACUGCUCGGUGACAGACGAAGCGUUCACUGGAUGGUUUGACUCCAGCGGACGAAAAAUAACCAGUGACUCAUCACAAAGAAUUCAUGUGCGAGCAGAUGGAAGUCUUAAGUAUCUGGAGAUCAGCAAGGUCAAUAGAACGGACCGCGGCACCUACGAAUGCCGAGGAAAGACGAAAAAGGCGCAAGUUAUGUUACUUGUGGAAUGUAUGUAUCAUAAAUGGGGGAGUAAGUUACCUAAGCCCUUUAUAAGCCCCUACCGCUUCCCAGAUUUAAUUUCACGACAAACGUAAAUAGAUAAAAACCAUCGAACUUCUCCACAAUGGUCACCUUGGGGACAGAGGAAAGUGGCCGUCGCAGGAAAGUGGUCGUUAU